rnacentral:rRNA from 1 species
GACGAACGCUGGCGGCGUGCUUAACACAUGCAAGUCGAACGAAGUGGCGAACGGGUGAGUAACGCGUAAUCAACCUGCCCUUCAGAGGGGGACAACAGUUGGAAACGACUGCUAAUACCGCAUACUGAAGGAGGGGAUUGCGUGUGAUUAGCUCGUUGGAGGGGGAACGGCCCACCAAGGCGAUGAACAGUCGCCGGUCUGAGAGGAUGAACGACCCAAAUGGGACUGAGAAACGGCCCAAGAGCCUACGGGGGGCAGCAGUGGGGAAUCUUCCGCAAGGGACGAAAGUCUGACGGAGCAAAGCCGGGUGAGGGAGGACGGCCUUCGGGUUGUAAAGCUCUGUUAAUCGGGGCGCGGUACCGGAAUAGAAAGCCACGGCUAACUACGUGCCAGCAGCCGCGGUAAUAC